AUUCAAUGUGAAGGUCUGCGGUGUCACUCGUGAAGUCAGCAAGACCAUGAACCCACUGGGAGCAAUGAACAACUCCGGCUGGACCACCUUUAAGAGCUGUAACACUCACUGUGAAGGUCUGUGGCUUCACUCCUGAUGUCAGCAAGACCAUGAACCCACCAGAACGGAGAAACUCUGGACACAUCUGAACAUCUGAAGGAACAAACUCCGGACACACCAUCUUUAAGACCUGUAUCACUCACCGCGAGGGUCCACAGCUUCACUCUUGAGGUCAGUGAGACCAAGAACCCACCGGAAGGAACCAAUUCUGGAUACACUACUACAUCCAUCCUUCUGGCAACAUCACUUGAAUAACAUCAUCCUUCUCUUUAAAAAUCUUCGUUAGGUUCCCUCUGCAUGCUAUAGAGCCAUCCGACUUAAAGUUUGUAGGCGUUCAUCUAACUCUCCAACUUUAUGUCUUAGUAGUCCCAGCCACAUGUCCAAUGCAUAUAGAUUCAAUGAAGUGCCUAAGGAUCCAGGACACAUG
rnacentral:lncRNA from 10 species